CAGUCGUACCUAUGGGUAAUCAGCCUUUUGGGUGUGAUUUUGUGGAGCGUGAGGAGUUAAACGCCUUCAUGCCUGCACAUUCGUGCACUUCGGGUGUACUUGCCCGUAUCGGUUGGUUAACNUCAAUUUUGGGCACCAUAAAGUGGACU
rnacentral:rRNA from 1 species